CAGCCUGAAGCCACGGUCGACAGCUGCAAACGUUACCAUGAGCACAAAAGCAAAACAAGGUUUAAAAAAGUGAUACAUUGCCAGGCAUUUUGGCAAGAUUUCCUUGGAUCCAGACUGUGUUUUGCACUGUUUCAGUUGAAAAGAAGAGCAGCGCUCCUGCCCGCCACAUGUGAUGGAAUUUGGAGAUUAAAUAAAUAAUGGCAUUAAUGAUCUAAAGGGUUUACUGAGUGCAUCGCAAUAUUUGCCUUAUUACCGCAGAUUUGUUUGUUUGUUUAGCUGUUUAUUUUAAUUGUGUCUUUUCCUUUUUUUAAGUGUCAGCAGUUCACGUUUUGGCACCAGAUGGAGGCUUUCUUUUGGUGAAAUGCCACCGUGUCAUUCAGCCGAGCUUUGAGCCUUUGAAUGUUCGCGCAGCAUGGCCUGAUGCUGGAUGUGUAGGUCCACGACCGGGAUCGGACCCCGUGAACCCCAGGCCACGAAAAUGGAGCGCAAAGUCAACCACUACACCAUCAGGCCUGCCCCUCAAAAAGUUUUAAAGAACGUUGAGCUUUAAAAUGUUUCGAAGCCCCGAGGCUGGGAUUUUUAGGGAGCAGAUCCAGAGAGCUGGACUGCCUCCUCUGCAGUCUGGACCGUCUGCGUCUUUACAGAGCACCUCCCACCGUGAAGCACAAGGCCCCUCCCUGCUCACUGGAAUGAAAUGAUCGUCCUAAGAGGUCAACUUGCUUAAUUAUAUUUAAUUCCCCCAACUUUCUCCUGUGGCAGGAGGUAAAAUGCCACUGGAUAUGGCUUUUCUCUUGAAAGUACGUGGAAGAGCUGUGUUGGAGGGUCAGAAUAAGUGGUGUGUCUAUCCCUAGUUAGAGGAGGUCGCCUUUCAGUUGUGGUGGACUGAGGCCAUCGGCCACCAGAACAAGCCAUCUCUUGCUUUACUGUAGAACCAGCUGUAACAUCUAGAACGUGUUGCUCCUCUUUUCCUAAGGACUCAGAAUAUACCCACGAAGUUACUUCAAAUAGAGUCUAUUGUAAUCGUCAAAUAAGCCGAAUGUCGCUAAAUAUACCCGCUGUUAUUUUAGUCUUUAUUUGUAUAUGAUGAUUUAAUUUUCAUUGACUUGGAUGUGCUGUAGUGUAAAGCGCUCUGACUUCCCACCGCGGGUGGAGAGGGAACGACGAUGCUGAAGCGCACAGAGCCGUCACCGGGGGCGGGUUGACUCGAAGCAUGCAGGCAGACAUACGGGCCUCAUGUGUGCCCACCAUCCAAGGGAGAGGAGAAGCCGAGAGAGGAAGCCUGCACUGGAAGAAGGAAAGAGACAACGAGACAGAGAGAGGCCCACGCAGUCUGUGUGGAGAAAGGAGAUUUGAUCAGAGAAAUCACAAAGCAGGAUCCAGACGCCCUGACAGCUACUGGGCAGUUACUGAGACUCAUUCUUAUCAACUGAGGUGGAGCACAAAAUUAAGCAAUACUAAGGCGAGGCCAAUUCUAGGAUAGAUAUAUGAAAUGACAGAAAACUAUUUGUUUUACCUUUUUUUCCUCCCUGUGUGUGAUGCAUUUAUUUAUAUUUGAAAUGGAACGCAGUAAUUUAUCUUAUCUUUAUUCUACACCUGAAGUCAUCCUCUUCCUCCUCAAAUUAGCAUCUCCUCCUGAAUUUUCUCUCUCAUUUGGGGCUCCUUUGGAGCGAGGCCCUCCAACUUGAACCCCUGAAAAUCUAAGAUAGCUACGAUCCUGCUCACUCCGUAACAAGGCUCCCUAAUUGUUUUUUCGUGAAGAAACAACACUGAUGUUCCAGUCAAGACAUAACAUUGCCCCGGGAAGCAAUUAUUAUUAUUUUUUUAAUAUCAGCUUUAUUAAGAUAUAUAUAUAGGGGCCGGCCCCAUGGCCGA